rnacentral:rRNA from 1 species
AAACUUUCAACAACGGAUCUCUUGGUUCUGGCACCGAUGAAGAACGCAGCGAAAUGCGAUAAGUAAUGUGAAUUGCAGAAUUCCGCGAAUCAUCGAAUCUUUGAACGCACAUUGCGCCCGCUAUCUCUAGCGGGCAUGCCUGUCCGAGCGUCAUCU